GUGGGGAAUCUUGCGCAAUGGGCGAAAGCCUGACGCAGCCAUGCCGCGUGAAUGAUGAAGGUCUUAGGAUUGUAAAAUUCUUUCACCGGGGACGAUAAUGACGGUACCCGGAGAAGAAGCUCCGGCUAACUUCGUGCCAACAGCCGCGGUAAUACGAAGGGGGCUAGCGUUGCUCGGAAUUACUGGGCGUAAAGGGCGCGUAGGCGGACAGUUUAGUCAGAGGUGAAAGCCCAGGGCUCAACCUUGGAAUUGCCUUUGAUACUGGCUGUCUUGAGUACGGGAGAGGUGAGUGGAACUCCGAGUGUAGAGGUGAAAUUCGUAGAUAUUCGGAAGAACACCAGUGGCGAAGGCGACUCACUGGCCCGUUACUGACGCUGAGGCGCGAAAGCGUGGGGAGCAAACAGGAUUAGAUGCCCCGGUAGUCC
rnacentral:rRNA from 1 species